AGCAAUUAGGAAUGCUGGCACACCCCAACCAGCAUGUUAGCCACUUUGUUUGGGAGUUAUGAUCCAUUAAAGGAUCAAGUACAGACAUGAGCAACAAUUGGGAUGCUGCCAGGCCUGAACUUUAACUCAGACAUAUAGAAGGGAAUAAAGGUAUGGAAUUUAUAACAGCAACAUAUGCAAAGAGAAUAACAUAUUCAAUAUUGAACAUAAACCUCAAAGUAGACAAGAUUGUAGAAACUGUAAAGCAAACACAUAGGGAUGAGGCUGAAAAUGAAAUUAGAACAUGCCAGUUCCAGGGAAACACAGAGAUAAGAGCAGUAGUAAAGCAAAAUUGCAAACACACAGCCAUAAGAUUUCAGAAGAGAGUGAGGGUACAGGAGUAUUGAAAUUGAAAGUGUUCAAUAAGUGUUGUGUGUUAUAGUAUUGAACUCCUUGUGUUUCAAAAGUGCUAAAAGGUCGUGCCUUUUAUAGUGCAGAAAAAAGUAAGAAAAAGGUAAGAAAAAAU
rnacentral:lncRNA from 1 species